GACGAACGCUGGCGGCGUGCUUAACACAUGCAAGUCGAACGGAAAGGCCCCCAUCUUGGUGGGGGUGCUCGAGUGGCGAACGGGUGAGUAACACGUGGGUGAUCUGCCCUGUACUUCGGGAUAAGCUUGGGAAACUGGGUCUAAUACCGGAUAGGACCAUGGUUUAGUGUCUCAUGGUGGAAAGAUUAUUGUUUUGGUGCAGGAUGAGCUCGCGGCCUAUCAGCUUGUUGGUGGGGUAAUGGCCUACCAAGGCGUCGACGGGUAGCCGGCCUGAGAGGGUGGACGGCCACAUUGGGACUGAGAUACGGCCCAGACUCCUACGGGAGGCAGCAGUGGGGAAUAUUGCACAAUGGGCGCAAGCCUGAUGCAGUGACGCCGCGUGGGGGAUGACGGCCUUCGGGUUGUAAACUCCUUUCGUUAGGGACGAAGCCGCACUUUUUUUGGGUGUGGUGACGGUACCUUUGUUAAGAAGCACCGGCUAACUACGUG
rnacentral:rRNA from 1 species